rnacentral:rRNA from 1 species
UUGAAGAGUUUGAUCAUGGCUCAGAUUGAACGCUGGCGGCAGGCCUAACACAUGCAAGUCGAGCGGUAGCACAGAGAGCUUGCUCUCGGGUGACGAGCGGCGGACGGGUGAGUAAUGUCUGGGAAACUGCCUGAUGGAGGGGGAUAACUACUGGAAACGGUAGCUAAUACCGCAUAACGUCGCAAGACCAAAGUGGGGGACCUUCGGGCCUCAUGCCAUCAGAUGUGCCCAGAUGGGAUUAGCUAGUAGGUGGGGUAACGGCUCACCUAGGCGACGAUCCCUAGCUGGUCUGAGAGGAUGACCAGCCACACUGGAACUGAGACACGGUCCAGACUCCUACGGGAGGCAGCAGUGGGGAAUAUUGCACAAUGGGCGCAAGCCUGAUGCAGCCAUGCCGCGUGUGUGAAGAAGGCCUUCGGGUUGUAAAGCACUUUCAGCGGGGAGGAAGGCGAUAAGGUUAAUAACCUUGGCGAUUGACGUUACCCGCAGAAGAAGCACCGGCUAACUCCGUGCCAGCAGCCGCGGUAAUACGGAGGGUGCAAGCGUUAAUCGGAAUUACUGGGCGUAAAGCGCACGCAGGCGGUCUGUCAAGUCGGAUGUGAAAUCCCCGGGCUCAACCUGGGAACUGCAUUCGAAACUGGCAGGCUAGAGUCUUGUAGAGGGGGGUAGAAUUCCAGGUGUAGCGGUGAAAUGCGUAGAGAUCUGGAGGAAUACCGGUGGCGAAGGCGGCCCCCUGGACAAAGACUGACGCUCAGGUGCGAAAGCGUGGGGAGCAAACAGGAUUAGAUACCCUGGUAGUCCACGCCGUAAACGAUGUCGAUUUGGAGGUUGUGCCCUUGAGGCGUGGCUUCCGGAGCUAACGCGUUAAAUCGACCGCCUGGGGAGUACGGCCGCAAGGUUAAAACUCAAAUGAAUUGACGGGGGCCCGCACAAGCGGUGGAGCAUGUGGUUUAAUUCGAUGCAACGCGAAGAACCUUACCUGGUCUUGACAUCCACAGAACUUUCCAGAGAUGGAUUGGUGCCUUCGGGAACUGUGAGACAGGUGCUGCAUGGCUGUCGUCAGCUCGUGUUGUGAAAUGUUGGGUUAAGUCCCGCAACGAGCGCAACCCUUAUCCUUUGUUGCCAGCGGUUCGGCCGGGAACUCAAAGGAGACUGCCAGUGAUAAACUGGAGGAAGGUGGGGAUGACGUCAAGUCAUCAUGGCCCUUACGACCAGGGCUACACACGUGCUACAAUGGCAUAUACAAAGAGAAGCGACCUCGCGAGAGCAAGCGGACCUCAUAAAGUAUGUCGUAGUCCGGAUUGGAGUCUGCAACUCGACUCCAUGAAGUCGGAAUCGCUAGUAAUCGUAGAUCAGAAUGCUACGGUGAAUACGUUCCCGGGCCUUGUACACACCGCCCGUCACACCAUGGGAGUGGGUUGCAAAAGAAGUAGGUAGCUUAACCUUCGGGAGGGCGCUUACCACUUUGUGAUUCAUGACUGGGGUGAAGUCGUAACAAGGUAACCGUAGGGGAACCUGCGGUUGGAUCACCUCCUU